rnacentral:lncRNA from 1 species
CACCAUACAAGGAAAGGCUCCGCGCGCUCUCCACCCCACCUACUCCUCCACUAUCAGGUGGGAAGCGCACCUUGGAGGUCACGUGACGCCGCCGAGACUCGCGCGCAGGGUAAAGGUGGACUGCUUUGGUCUCGCUGUGUCCUGUCAUCUGUCCGCUGACAUUCUAUUCACCUGCGUCUUUGACGGGAUUGGGAACGAAUCCGUUGGAUUUUUCCAAGAUGUCCAUCAGCCGGAAGAACUGGUCGGCUUUAUCCAGCCUGGCACGCCAGUGGACGAUGGAGGAUGAGGAGGAGGCAGAGCGUGAGAGGAGGCGAAGGGGGAAGAGCAUCACCACGGCUGAGCCAGAUGUGGACUCCAGCCCUGAACCCAAAAACCAGUCGUCUGCCAGUGACACUGUCUCCGGGACGGAGUCCUCUCAGGGGUCCCAGGACAUCAGCAGUGUGCAGCAGAUGCAGCUGGACUUUGUGGAGAUGUUGCGAGUGCGCGAUGAGAAGCGGAGAAUGCGUCACGUGGAAAUACUGCGACAGCAGAAAGAGGAAGAGGACGAUCCUGUGGGAAGCGGGAGAGGAGGAAAAGGAGGAGACGAGGGGGGUGUCAGCCUGGCUUUUCUUGGGGGGCUGGAUGAGGAGAAAGACAGUGUGUUCAAGCCACAACCACCUUUGAAAAUAUCCACCAGUAGCAAAGCUAAAACCACCACGGAAAGCAGACAGCGUGAAAACGGAAGCGUGUCGCACCGACCUCCAGAUCCCGAUGUCAUUCCAGCAUCAAGCUCGUCUCGAAAGUUUGUCAGUUCUGUAUCCAUCUCACUAGACAACUCAUCUCCUUCUGCCAGCGGGCAGACAACUCCGACACAUCCGUCCUCCCCGAUGGGCCGCUCGUCGCCUCAGGAGCACUGGAGUCCCUCGACGCGAGAAAGUCGAAGCCCCGUUCAGAACGGCCACACAGUGGAGACCAGCCCGCAUGACUCUUCCUCCAAAGGAGACUCUGAACAGACCGCUAAACCUCCUUUCGUCAAACAGAGCUCCAGGACUUUAUCUUUCAGGAUGAUGAAAAAAAAAGAAGAAGAGAAAUCGCCUCUGCAGAGGAGCUCAAGCGUCAGAAUUGUCUCCAAGAAGUUUGAGUCCAGCAAGGAGCCAAACGACAAUGAGGACAACACAUCUUUCCAGAGAAACUCGAGGCAGAGGAUUUCCUCCAGAUCUAUCAGGGAGAAGAUGGAGAGGCUGGCUCAGGCAGCACAGAAAUCCGAUUCGCCUCGCUCUCCCGAUGUGACCCAGAGGACCCUGUUCCUGCUAGAAGAAGUCUCGAGGAAGAGAACCCUUUUUGAAAAAGACGAGCCGCCACAGAGCAUCACCAGUCCUGGGGCUUCCAGAAAAGAAUUUAAAAGUUUCACAUCAGGAAUGUCAGAACGGAUCAACCGCUUUGUUAAGUCCAACCAAUCUGGAUCCGCACUCAGUCCUGACUUGAGACAUGUGGACAUCAGCAGUAAGAGAAGCCUGUUUGAGAACAGAGGAGAGGACGCUGCUCCAAAGAGCAGCCCUGGAAAAACCUUCAAAUAAAGAAACCACAUUUGCAAUAUCCAACAGAAAAGGUGGAGAUGGGGAAACCUACCGGAUGAUACACCUUCAAAGCACAAUAAAAUAAUAUAAAAAAGCAGGUGAAAAUAUGUGGAGUGUAUCUUUAGCUGAAGCUUCUUUCACAUUUAAUUCAUACUUUUGCUCAUCUUUUUCGUGUUUGGAUUGUUUUACAUGCUGGGAGUGCAAAGGAAAUAAAUCUGACAGCUAUUAAAGGAGUGAAAAU